rnacentral:rRNA from 1 species
CCUACGGGUGGCUGCAGUGAGGAAUAUUGGUCAAUGGACGAGAGUCUGAACCAGCCAAGUAGCGUGAAGGAUGACUGCCCUAUGGGUUGUAAACUUCUUUUAUAUGGGAAUAAAACGUUCCACGUGUGGGAUUUUGUAUGUACCAUAUGAAUAAGGAUCGGCUAAUUCCGUGCCAGCAGCCGCGGUAAUACGGAGGAUCCGAGCGUUAUCCGGAUUUAUUGGGUUUAAAGGGAGCGUAGGUGGAUUGUUAAGUCAGUUGUGAAAGUUUGCGGCUCAACCGUAAGAUUGCAGCUGAAACUGGCAGUCUUGAGUACAGUAGAGGUGGGCGGAAUUCGUGGUGUAGCGGUGAAAUGCUUAGAUAUCACGAAGAACUCCGAUUGCGAAGGCAGUUCACUGGACUGCAACUGACACUGAAGCUCGAAAGUGUGGGUAUCAAACAGGAUUAGAUACCCCAGUAGUC